AAUCAAAUCAUCGAUAGAUUAAAUGAUAAUCUUUUUUAUCAUUCAACAAGUUUACACUUAGUCUAAAUUUGAACGUAUACAUUCUUAAGAUAAUAAACUAAACUUUGCUUGAUUGACGAGUGACUAAUUUGACCAGUGUAUAUCUGCACAUGUCAGCGUCAUCCACCAUCUUUGUUUAUUUUAACGUGCCCGUUUUGUCGCGAUGAAAUUUCGUCAAUUGUAAUCUAUAAAUAAUCAUCAUGCUCCUGAGUAAUUCGGGAAACAGAAAGGCGCUACCGAAACAGGAUAAGCUGCAGCAUUUCAACGAUACCAUUCUGAGAAGUCAGCAAUACAGGUCGAAAAUGUAUUCACUGUGCAGUGAGUGCAGCCAGGCAGUGCAACAACUAAGGAUCUGAUAGAAACAAAAAACGGAAGGAACAUCCGGGUCUGAGAACUUGACGGUGGCGGAGGAGAUUACGACUCCUCGGACGGGGAGAACGAUCCGGAAGUGAUUAAACCAGGGUCAACGAGAUAGCAGAGUUGAACUCAGAGCACCUGACGACAGCGGCGAUUGUAAUGGUUCCGAUGAAAAUACGUUUUAGUAAGAUUCCCGAUUAUCACCAGGUGGAUCUGAGACGUUGAUCAUUUUGCUGGUGGAAGAUCCGCAAACAUCCGAUUUAAGAUUUGGUCAUUUUUAUUUUUACUGAGAAUAAAUUUAUAUUUAUCGAUAGGACCAUAUCCAUGGUCCAUGUAUUAUGUA